rnacentral:rRNA from 1 species
GGCCUAACACAUGCAAGUCGAACGGCAGCACAGCAGAGCUUGCUCUGUGGGUGGCGAGUGGCGGACGGGUGAGUAAUGCAUCGGGACCUACCCAGACGUGGGGGAUAACGUAGGGAAACUUACGCUAAUACCGCAUACGUCCUACGGGAGAAAGCAGGGGAUCUUCGGACCUUGCGCGGUUGGACGGACCGAUGUGCGAUUAGCUAGUUGGUAAGGUAAUGGCUUACCAAGGCGACGAUCGCUAGCUGGUCUGAGAGGAUGAUCAGCCACACUGGAACUGAGACACGGUCCAGACUCCUACGGGAGGCAGCAGUGGGGAAUAUUGGACAAUGGGCGCAAGCCUGAUCCAGCAAUGCCGCGUGUGUGAAGAAGGCCCUCGGGUUGUAAAGCACUUUUAUCAGGAACGAAAUACCACGGGCUAAUACCUUGUGGGGCUGACGGUACCUGAGG